CCUACGGGAGGCAGCAGUGGGGAAUAUUGGCCAAUGGAGGCAACUCUGAUCCAGCAAUGCCGCGUGUGUGAUGAAGGCCCUAGGGUUGUAAAGCACUUUCAACGGGGAAGAUGAUGACGGUACCCGUAGAAGAAGCCCCGGCUAACUUCGUGCCAGCAGCCGCGGUAAUACGAAGGGGGCGAGCGUUAUUCGGAAUUAUUGGGCGUAAAGGGCUCGCAGGCUGCUUGAACAGUUAGACGUGAAAUCCCCGGGCUCAACCUGGGAACUGCGUUUAAUACUAACAAGCUAAAGUAAUAGAGAGGAAAGUGGAAUUCCCAGUGUAGAGGUGAAAUUCGUAGAUAUUGGGAAGAACACCAGUGGCGAAAGCGGCUUUCUGGCUAUUUGCUGACGCUGAGGACCUAAAGCUUGGGGAGCAAACAGGAUUAAAUACCCUGGUAGAGAACAGGAUUAGAUACCCUGGUAG
rnacentral:rRNA from 1 species